rnacentral:rRNA from 1 species
UACAGAGGUGGCAAGCGUUAUUCGGAAUCACUGGGCUUAAAGGGCGCGUAGGCGGGCAGCCAAGUCCGGGGUGAAAGCUUUCGGCUUAACCGGAAAAGAGCCUUGGAUACUGGCUGUCUCGAGGGAGGUAGGGGUCUGUGGAACUUCCAGUGGAGCGGUGAAAUGCGUAGAUAUUGGAAGGAACGCCGGUGGCGAAAGCGACGGACUGGACCUCUUCUGACGCUGAGGCGCGAAAGCCAGGGGAGCAAACGGG